UCAUGGGCGAGAGCCUGAACCAGCCAGUAGCGUGAAGGAUGACUGCCCUAUGNCAANGUAAACUUNGNAAAUAAAGGAAUAAAGUCGGGUAUGGAUACUNCCUUUGCAUGUACUUUAUGAAUAAGGAUCGGCUAACUCCGUGCCAGCAGCCGCGGUAAUACGGAGGAUCCGAGCGUUAUCCGGAUUUAUUGGGUUUAAAGGGAGCGUAGAUGGAUGUUUAAGUCAGUUGUGAAAGUUUGCGGCUCAACCGUAAAAUUGCAGUUGAUACUGGAUAUCUUGAGUGCAGUUGAGGCAGGCGGAAUUCGUGGUGUAGCGGUGAAAUGCUUAGAUAUCACGAAGAACUCCGAUUGCGAAGGCAGCCUGCUAAGCUGCAACUGACAUUGAGGCUCGAAAGUGUGGGUAUCAAACAGGAUUAGAUACCCUGGAAGUCCAAGGGCGAAUUC
rnacentral:rRNA from 1 species